UAGAUCGGAACAAAAAAUUAAUUGACGCAAAGAUCAUAGACGAAGCAUCACAAAGCGGUUCUAAGAGGCUCGGCCCCCAGUAUGUUAAAUAUUUGUCGUCACAGGCUUCAUUACUCUCGAAAGAUUGAUCAAGGGGCCGCGGAGAGGCAGCAGGAGUCAAUAAGCAGAGGAGCCAAGUGUCGGUGAAGGUGUGCAGGCUUAAACUUUAAUUCAUAUGAGUGAAUAUCGCUCAAUCGAGCCGAGAAGAUUUCGUCCAUCACGCUUCGCUGCCACCUUCCACCAGUAUUCCAGCCAUUCUGUAUUUCACGCCUAUUUCAAACACCUCGCCGCUUCGACACUGUCACGGAUAUAUAAUCGAGGAUGAAAGAGCAGAGCGAGUCGGAAAUUGUGUUAUCAACGUACUGGCUUCAUAGAACCUUUAGAACAGAGUUGUGGAGCAAAUUCUCCUGAGGUGCGGGUAUUAAUCCAGAAGGUUCUUCAUAGCAUCCCCCAGGAGCCUCCCCACCUAUCGAGGACACGUCGACGAUGCCAAUGGAGGGGAUCUGGAUGGAAAGAAGGGAAAAGGGGCGGCGUGCGGGCAGGGGACUGUUGGCGGGUAUGCACGGUAGGGGCAGGAGAGGACCUUGGCCUUUUCGCGGGGCAAAAAUAAAACCUGUUGACACCGAAGCCCCGCGGACGUAAAGGAACCUCUCUGUCUCCCUUCUUCGACCAGUUUCCAAUAUCUCUCUUAAAUAUUCGCCUGAUGAUUCUCCUCAAAUUGCACGAUUUUCGAACUCGUUCAUAUAGGCUAUGGUGCUAUUAUUUUGUUAGUGGAAGUUCCAAGCUGGUCUAAAAAUAAAAGGAGAACAAGGAUAUGUUAGAUUAGACCAAAGUGGAAUAAGGCGCAUUUGUACUUUUGCGUUUACAAAACGUCAUCGUUACUGUCGAUGCGUAAAAUGAACGCCCCCGCGGCUUUGUGCGCUCCCAGGGCCAGUUUCAUCGCAUGUUGAGUCUCCGCUUCGCACGGGCAUUCCUUUCUACUACUGCAUUUCGGCCAUUCUUUUUGCUGCUUUAACCUUCUAGAACUCUUUUUCCGAUACAUCAACAUCUAUCACAGUAUAUUUCCUCCAAAUUUCGUCAUCUAGAUUUCAAUUAUUUUUCAUCGCGGACAUUUUGCGUAAUAGUUUCAAGUUUCUCAUAGUUUAGAACUUUAUGGUGACUCAUGGGAUCGAGUAUGGCUCGGCUAUACCGUCAACUUCUGAGAAAAUCCGCAUUAUUCAAAAGUGAUCUUAGUAUUAUAUACAGUAAUACCAGUCGAAUGCAUCUGGUCUCCAGUGUUUCCCCUAUAGUACCUACCAGACACGCUGCUCCAACGAUUGCUUUCUGCGUGUUCGUGCGUGCACGAUGCCGAGCAUGCACCUUGCCACGACUAGACGAGCGAGAGACGACGAGAAGCGGCCUCCGGCAACCUCAACCUAGCUACAGACAACCGCUACCGUCUCUGUGUGCACGCUAUGCUGCCACGACGCGGAAAAAAGCGAUACAGAAUGUACCGACUAGGCUACCAGCCGCUACUCCCCAUUUUUUUAUGAGAAAAUUUUGCUUGAAGACCAGUUGUACUUUCCUUCUUUUGCAUAAUCAUUCCUCUUGGAUUUAUUUAGAUCUUUGUUUAGUAGUCAUUGUUUAGCAAAAAUAGAUAUAGUUAUAAGUUAGCUAUAGACUUCUACAAAUGAAAUAAGAAUAAUUAUAAGUUAUCGAUACUAAUUGUUAAGAAUUCAGUAUUACCUAACUUCCAUCUACUAUACAAAUUGACCGCAAAGUACCUCCGAAACUAAAAUAAGCUUGCACAUGAAAACAAAAUAUAGCUGGUACAGGAAGCGACACAUCAGGAUGGAAACGCAUCGUAUAGGAAUGCACCUGCCAUCGAACACGGGAAACGAGCUUACGCAGAAAAAUGCGAUUCUUCUGCAAAGUUGAGCGAUUCCCGGGAAGAGAAAAGGUCACGCACACCUGCGUAACCACGGUGCAGGUAUGUGCACUGCGCACAGCAUCGAUAGUAGGUAUAUACAUAGCUUUGUGAGCCUCCACCGAUGUAGAAUAACUCGAUGCUCUUCGGCUAGACAGACCAGAGACAGAAAAUGGCGUAUUUCUUUCUCGUAACAGUGCAUUUUCCAUCGGGUAACGCUUUAUAUAUCUACAAAUUUAAAAAUAUGAUAUACCCGAAAUAUAAAGAGGAUGAAAGGUUGCAGAAUUAAUAAUAAUGGAAACAAAUUUGUUUAAUAUAGAAGAGUUGCAACGAUAAAAGCGGUAGUACAACGUGGCUACCAUCGAUGGGGAAACGUAUAAAUAGAGGGCUGGCCUAACAGGCCAUAUCGGAAAAAUUCUCAUUUAGCCCCUGGCCAAUGAAAGACCAGGUGGGUCCGCAUGAAAAACUCCAGAAGGGAAAGGGUCACGCCUGUUAACUUCGGGAGAUCUUAGAAGAGUGGCUCAAUGGAGGGGGACUCGAGUGCAUCUGCAUCCGGGAAAUAAAACGUAUCAUGCUAAACAAUUAAACAAAACUAGAAUAUGAAGCGGUCUGGCUAACUGCCAUUUCAGCUGAUUGGGUGACUUCUCAUUCUAAAGUUUCCGCAACUUCCUACAAUAAAAAAUAUAUUGAUAUUUUGAUGCAACUGCAACUUGAACGUCGAAGACACAAAAAUAACAAAAUAACGUUAUGGGAAAGUUCAAUAAAAUAUCCCAAAAAUAAUAAUGAAAUACCUAGUCGUGAUUGUUGAUUCGUUGCUGGUUGCAAGCAGUUUUUCAUCUGUAAAAGUAGUCGAGAUAAAAAGAAUAUCCAAGACAAAAAGCAAGUAGAAAGGAGUACGGAAGAGAGGAAGAAAAGGGAGAGAGAGAGAACCUUGGCCCACAGGCCUACUGCAGCGCUGCAGCUUGCUUGCAAUGUACCUCCACUGCUCUGCCAUUCAUGUGGGAAACACCCUAGUAUCCGUUCGUCGUGGGGCUGGGCCAACAACCGCCGGAAAAAUUUCUCUUUCGAUGCACUGCAACGGCCCCGCCCCGUAUGCUGGAGUAUAGGGAAGAAAAGUUUAGAAUAGACGAUGCAGGCUGAACAUUGCAAUGUCCGCCAAUUUACUCGAGAUGGAGAUUCUAUGAACCAUUGAAAAUCACCUUAUAUAGUGUCUCACGAAAGUAUUCGAAUACUUACCAAAGAAUUUAUUUUAUGAUUUUAUGAAUAUAUUAUGUGCAUUAUACGGAAUUAUUUGAAAUUUCGUUGGCACUGUAACGAGAUACGACUAUCAGGAUUAUUGUAGUAAUAUUUGAAAUCAAUUCGAAAAUGUAUGAAAGAGUUAGAAGAUUUUUGUUGCAAACAUAUAUUUAGUGAAAAAGUUAGUAUAAAGUAUGAAUAGUAACCUUAAAAACGAGUUAAUAAAAGAGUUAGUCUUAAAGAUGAUAAAGAUUUCAUUAUACAUAUAUUGUGCCUUACUAAUAUGUGAAUACUGGACUGUUCAUCCAAUAAACAUCUUGUAAUAUCUGUAUACAUUUUCAGAUCUGUUGCACAUUUUAUCAGUGCCAUCGCAAAAAUCGUGUCUCGUUAUGAAAUGAUGCCAAUGAAAUUUCAAAAUAUUUUGUGCAAUGUGUAUGCACAUACUUAAAAAGCUUUUGGAAGUGUAAGAAUACUUUCGUGAAUCACUGUAUACCAGUUUCAGGUACGAUUCGUUUAAAAAGAUAAUAAAAUUAAACGUAUUAUUUGAAGAAUUAAACAGAGUGGCUUUUUAACAUUAUUUACAAUAAGUCAUGAAAUACGAGAUUAUGUAGUUAAAGAAACUUAUUACAGUGCAUGCAAUAAAAUUUUAAUAGAUUGGAAAAAACGGCCGCAAGGUGGAUGGCCAGCGCUACUAUCGUUAGUGAUUAUAUCAACACAUUCAUGGCCAAAUACAAAAUCGAGGUUCUGCAGAGAAUUCGAAAAAUUUGAUUUCGAACAUCGUACUGUUAUUAAUUAAAAUAACUACAAAAAAUUCUUAUUUUUUCAAAAUCACUAACUAAACUGCAUGGAUUUAUUUUAAUUAUGGAAAAUCGUACUCACAUGUCAGUGGUCGAUAAUGUUUAAAGUAAUUUUUAUAACGUUUUUGACUAAUUUCCUUUAAUCUUUAAUAUGAAUUGCUUAUUAAUAUAUUAUAACCUCUUUUAUUGUUGUUAACAAUAGAAUUGACCAUAUGACCCAGACCUUCUAUGGUUUACGAUCUCAUUAGCCUAACCUAGGACUCUUCUUGCUUCUUUAACCUCGCACGAUCGAAUAGCCCGAUAGCAUUAUGUACGCUUGAACUUGCUCGACGACGCUUCCCGCGUUUCAAUCGGCUCGAGGAUUGCAAAUGACGAUAAGAAGAUCGAUAAAGAUGAUCGAUUUUUAGUUAUCUCGUCAAUAUCUUAAUCGAUAUAUGUAUCGAUCAAUCUCGGAACUCAAAAAUUCCUGUGCACUGUUAAUAUCACGCUUCGAUAUUUUAAACAACUGCGAUUCUCGAAGAAUACUGCCAAGAACGCAAUUAGCAUUCAAACAAGAAAAUUAACGUUAAAAGUCCGUAUUUCGUCCUACGAUUGAAUCAUUAUGUACACUAACGUGCAUAAGUAUUUAAACGCUUUCAAAUAAUCGCAAAUAUAUACAUAAAAUAUUCUUCAAAUAAAGCUCUUUAAUCUUAUCUCGGAUAAUCAUUUACAUUUAGUAAAUAUUGAUAAAAACAAUAGUUGAUAUUAAUUAAUAUAAACAGAAAAGUAAGGAAUCCUAAAGUAAAAGCUAAGUUAAAUGACCUUAAAUGAGAAUAAGCGUCGCAGUAAGUCGUAGAAUAAGCGAAGUAUGUGCUUGCAACCACAUCCGACAAGUUUAUAUAAAAAAAAUAUUCUAGCUGCAAUUUGGUGAAACAUUUGACUUUAGGUAUAACAAAAAACAAAGAAUUAACAGUAGAGAAAUAGUCUUCUAUCAUAAUGUUAAAGAUAUAAUACAAAUAUUAAUGUUUUUAUUGGAUUGUAUCAAGCGUCCAAAUUUUUAUGAAUAGUAGUGUACAUUCUAACAAAUGAUUUUGUCCAAAAUAAGCAAGUGUCCAGUAUCAAAUCAAAUUAAGUAUCGAUUUUUGAUAAUCCGAAUCAUUAACUGUGAUUAUACUCCUUAGAGUCGAUUCGUCAGAUUCGCAUACUGAACUUGAUCCCGUUCCAUUUGAUCGGCAAUUGCGAACGCGUGCCAGAAUCAACCGGCAGCACGAAAAACAGCGGAAAUGCGAAUUCUGUUCUUUACCUCGGUAGUCCAGUGAGAACAGGAACGUCGCCGCAUCCCAUGGACCCGUGCGUAGACAUCUCUAACCGUAGAAAAUCCAACGACAUAGGAAACAACGGAGAAAAGAACGUGACGAUGUAUAUAUCCUAUAUCUAUCGAACACCGUUCGUUCGUAUGUUAGGUCGCCGCUCCCUGAGAGAUCACUGCCCUCACGCACACCCGGUGCCUUCUCUCGUUCCUUUGGUUGAUCGUCGUCGUGUGUCUCUCUGCCCCAACGACGGGGGCCAGGGGCGUGCCACGAAACUGGCGUGCCCAUCGCGAACGAUAUACACAUAAAUUGUUCUAAUUUUUGUAGCAAUUUCAUUAACACACUUCGUAAUUUCAGAUCCAUUAUUAAGUUACUGCGAGUACUGCCUCAACAAAAAGAAAAACGUAAAGAAUCAUGGGAAGCUUGAAGGAGAACAGAAUCUUGAGGUAGUGAUGGAACCGAUUCGUCGAUCAUUGCAAAAUAUUAGAAACAGGAGUAUGUAUUUCAAAUGUAUUUCUGUAUAACAACACUUUCACACAAGACUCAAACAAGAACUUUAGAUUAGAAGAAUGCAGUAUGAGGCAGAUAAUUCUGUUAACCAAGUUCAUUUCUAGACGUGUUGGUUGAAAUUAAUAAAUACUAUACUACUAUAACAACACUUUCACAAAUAUGUAAGUUCAGAUAGUUAACAGUUCCUUUAUUUACAGAAUACCGUAGCCGUUGUUUGCGAAUACGUUAUUCCCAUCACUACCGGUCGCAAAUUUCCCUCCCUCGAGUCUGAAUUUCGAGACUAUCGAGCUGUCUUGAAGUUCCGAUGAAUAACUCUCAUUUGACGUAGUGACCACUCACGAACUAGCAAAAUCUUUUUGCAGAAACUCGCAUGGAUCAAGGAGCAUGCAGUCCAGAAAAUAUUUUCGCGGUGGAUUAUCCUUUGACGGAGUGCACUGGCUGUUCACAUACUCGAACCGUGUGUCUCGUUCGCGAAUUCGCGGCACACAGACGGCUGGCAGCCAAUUGCAAAAACCCCUUCUUUUCGCGGCGGAAAGAACAAGGGAUCCAGAAACCCUACCCCCCGGGGCACGUGUACGUGUGUGCGGGCUGCACGUUGAACGCACACCACCGUACGCAAUGUAUACGUGCAGGAAAGGGAAGGCCGACGUACACGAGCCGGCAACGAGACGAUGAUUUCCAUUAUUUCGCCGGCACGCGUGGCAAGACUUGUUUAACGAGCGCAACGUCGCCAUCUGUAUCGCGGAUCUCGCAUCAUGAUAAUCACGAAUUAACCGACAAACAACUCUACUUCUGAUGGAUAGCGCUUGCGCAAUUAUCGAUUGGAAAAUAGCAAAUUCGUAUAGUUUUUAUACUAAUAAAAGAGAUUAGAAUAUCAACUUCGGUAAUACUUAUAAUAAAUUUUCUAUAAUUUAAUAAUAAAGAAUUUUAAUUCGUUUAAAAAUAUUAUUUAUUUGUGAUAGAAAUCCAUUGUAGUUUUAGAAUACUGACUUCUACUGAGUAAUUUUUAAAUUGGCCAAUGAGGAUAGAAAGGAUAUUUUGAUUUGGGUGAUCGAUCAUAUGCAUCAAUUUUCUCGUAAUAACUUUCUUUUACGCUGUAAUGGAAACCGGAUUAGUCAAAGUUGGAAAGAAUUUUUAUGUACACUAAUAAAUUUGUUGUUUCUUUUUUUUUUUUUUUUUGAAGAAUUUAUUUAAUGAAGCAAUAUUAUUCAAAACCGAUUCGUAACUUUCAAAAGUCAAUAGUCCUCACCAAAUACGAUGUCACAGUUUUUUAAAAAGUUAAACGUGAUUUUAGAACAAAAAAAAUGCAUAAUUUUUAGAUCUUCUUUUUCAAAAUCGUUAAUUUAAGGUCUUUCCUUCCGAUUACCUGGACAUAGUUAAGUUAUUCUUUUCUUUAGAGGAAAUCGUAGUACAAUACAAGAAAAACUAUUUCAUAUGUUCAUUUUUUCCCUUAAUGUUAUAUUUUUUAUUGGUAUGUAAUACGUAUAUAAUAAUAUAUAUUUAUAUAUAUAUAUAUUAUAUUCGUCAAUAUCGAAUAUAUUAAUAUUUUAUUAGUUUUUCUUUCCAUAAAUUAAAUAAAUAACUCUUGACUGUGUGAUAUUAUUAAACAAAAUAUUUUACAAAAGUAAAUAGUUAUAGAUUGCCAGGUGUUCAGUGAAGAGUGAGGAUAGAUGUAUGUUUUUUACUAUAUCGUCUAUUCAAAAGUAACUAGACAUCCGAAGCGCUUUUUUUAUUCCGUAUACGUGAUUUUUGGCGAAGUCAUGAUUUUCUCU